CCUAGGAAAUUGUGUUUCAAACAGAAUAAUUAGAAUCAAGAAGAAAGAAGCAGGAAGUACAAACAGUCUUUUUUUCUUUUUCUUAUUUUUUCCGGCAAUAUUUUACUCUCAUAUUCUUAUUAGCAAUGCCUGUUUGCAUGGAGAGAAAAACAAAGUGCUUCAGCUUAAAAGGUCAACGGAAAAGCUGCAGAAUCUAUCAUGGUGCAUAUCUCCAAUAAGUUAUAAUUUUACCUUAAAAUUGCACAGAAACUGGAGAAGCACUCCACAGCUGCUACUCCAAGAUCAACUUUAAUUUCAUGAUGCAGUUUUAUGCUUCAGUGAAACUCUGCACGACGAUGUUAGGCAUUUAGAUUCUGAGGUAAAAACACAUCCACAUGAAAACUUAAGGCGGAAGUAAAUUCAUUCACUGAGGCCAAAGAGAGCGGUCUCUCUAAACGGUCUCCCU
rnacentral:lncRNA from 1 species